rnacentral:lncRNA from 1 species
ACAUACAUACAUACAUACAUACAUACAUACAUACAUACAUGCAUGCACACAGACAUGCAGACAUAUAGACAUAUAUGCAAUUAUCUUAACUUCAGAAGGUCUUGCGUGGGAGAUGAAUUUCUUGUUAGCUAUUGCGUAACGAUCCGAAACCUCAACUUGCAAAUGUUUAAGAGGAAUAUGAGCCACGACAAUCUCACAGCUCAUAGAGGACCUGUAACGGUUUUGGGUACAGCUCUUUUCUUCCAGGACAAACCAAUAAAUAACAUUUACUGUUUCUGCGAAUUAUCUUGAGUUUCCUAUAUUUUUUUAGCAGAUGCAGUUUUGAUAGAGCCCCGAGACAGGUGGCAGAAAAGCAAUAACUUAUUCCUCAAACUGGAAUCCUAACCCGAAUGCACCCAACGGGGUCGGUUGCAAUGAUAAAUGAUAUAAUUUACACUUCUUUAUUCAAUGUUGUUUUUGUCAGUUUUGAGCAUCGUAGAAUAACCGCAGAUGAAAAAGUUAACGUCUUGGUUCGAUUCCCGCGGUUAUAGCAAUUGGCAUAUGUCACUAUUGACAUCGUGAACAGUAUGAAUGUCGCAACUCCUAUUACCUUCAAAACAUGUCAAUCAACCGAUUCUUGUUAUCAUAUU